AUUGAACGCUGGCGGCAGGCCUAACGCAUGCAAGUCGAGCGGAUGAAGGGAGCUUGCUCCUGGAUUCAGCGGCGGACGGGUGAGUAAUGCCUAGGAAUCUGCCUGGUAGUGGGGGAUAACGUCCGGAAACGGGCGCUAAUACCGCAUACGUCCUGAGGGAGAAAGUGGGGGAUCUUCGGACCUCACGCUAUCAGAUGAGCCUAGGUCGGAUUAGCUAGUUGGUGGGGUAAAGGCCUACCAAGGCGACGAUCCGUAACUGGUCUGAGAGGAUGAUCAGUCACACUAGAACUGAGACACGGUCCAGACUCCUACGGGAGGCAGCAGUGGGGAAUAUUGGACAAUGGGCGAAAGCCUGAUCCAGCCAUGCCGCGUGUGUGAAGAAGGUCUUCGGAUUGUAAAGCACUUUAAGUUGGGAGGAAGGGCAGUAAGUUAAUACCUUGCUGUUUUGACGUUACCAACAGAAUAAGCACCGGCUAACUUCGUG
rnacentral:rRNA from 1 species